AAUGAACGCUGGCGGCAUGCCUAACACGUGCAAGUCGAGCGAAUGAAGGGAGCUUGCUCCCGGAUGCAGCGGCGGACGGGUGAGUAAUGCCCAGGAAUCUGCCUUGUAGUCGGGAAUAGGGUCCGGAAACGGGCGCUAAUAUCGGAUCCGUCGUUAUAUAGAAAUUGGGGGAUCUUCGGACCUAACGCUAUCAUAUGAGGCUAGGUCGGAUUAGCUAGUCGGUGGGGUAAAGGCAUACCAAGGCGACGAUCCGUAACUGGUCUGAGAGGAUGAUCAGUCACACUGGAACUGAGACACGGUCCAGACUCCUACGGGAGGCAGCAGUGGGGAAUCUUACGCAAUGGGCGAAAGCCUGAUCCAGCCAUGCCGCGUGUGUGCAGAAGGUCUUCGGAUUGUAAAGCACUGUAAGUUGGGAGGAAGGAAAGUAAGUUUAUCCCUUGCUGUUUUGACGGUACCAACAGAAUAAGCACCGGCUAACUUCGUG
rnacentral:rRNA from 1 species